AAUAUUGGACAAUUGGCGCAAGCCUGAUCCAGCCAUGCCGCGCGUGUGAUGAAGGCCGUAGGGUUGUUAAGCGCUUUCCCCGCUGAAGAUAAUGACGGUAGUCGGAGCAGAAGCCCCGGCUAACUUCGUGCCAGCAGCCGCGGUAAUACGAAGGGGGCUGGCGUUGUUCGGAUUUACUGGGCGUAAAGCGCACGUAGGCGGAUUGGUCAGUUAGAGGUGAAAUCCCGAAGCUCAACUUCGGAACUGCCUUUAAUACUGCCAGUCUCGAGUCCGGAAGAGGUAAGUGGAACUCCUAGUGUAGAGGUGGAAUUCGUAGAUAUUAGGAAGAACACCAGUGGCGAAGGCGGCUUACUGGUCCGGAACUGACGCUGAGGUGCGAAAGCGUGGGGAGCAAACA
rnacentral:rRNA from 1 species